UACGGAGGGGACUAGCGUUGUUCGGAAUUACUGGGCGUAAAGCGCACGUAGGCGGAUUUGUAAGUCAGGGGUGAAAUCCUGGAGCUCAACUCCAGAACUGCCUUUGAUACUGAGGAUCUUGAGUAUGGGAGAGGUGAGUGGAACUGCGAGUGUAGAGGUGAAAUUCGUAGAUAUUCGCAAGAACACCAGUGGCGAAGGCGGCUCACUGGCCCAUAACUGACGCUGAGGCACGAAAGCGCUGGGGAGCAAACAGG
rnacentral:rRNA from 1 species